rnacentral:rRNA from 1 species
CCCUUAGAUGUUCUGGGCCGCACGCGUGCUACACUGAACGGUUCAAUGGGUAAGGUAGUGCGAAAGCGUGACCUAAUCUCGAAAUCCGUUCGUGCUGGGGAUAGAAGCUUGCAAUUAUCCUUCUUGAACGAGGAAUACCUUGUAAGCGUGAGUCAUCAUCUCACGCUGAAUACGUCCCUGCCCUUUGUACACACCGCCCGUCGCUCCUACCGAUUGAGUGUUCCGGUGAGGCUUUGGGAGAAUGGCCUCAACAUGAGUUUAUCGUGUUUUGCCGUUUGAACUUAGUCAAACCUUAUCACUUAGAGGAAGGAGAAGUCGUAACA